rnacentral:rRNA from 1 species
GAUCCUGGCUCAGGAUGAACGCUAGCUACAGGCUUAACACAUGCAAGUCGAGGGGCGAGCAUUUCAGUUUGCUUGCAAACUGGAGAUGGCGACCGGCGCACGGGUGAGUAACACGUAUCCAACCUGCCGAGUAACUCGGGGAUAGCCUUUCGAAAGAAAGAUUAAUACCCUAUGGUAUAAUUAGACCGCAUGGUCUUGUUAUUAAAGAAUUUCGGUUAUCGAUGGGGAUGCGUUCCAUUAGG